CAGUCGCCGCGGGAAUACGAAGGGUGCAAGCGUUACUCGGAAUUACUGGGCGUAAAGCGUGUGUAGGUGGUUGUUUAAGUCUGUCGUGAAAGCCCUGGGCUCAACCUGGGAAUUGCGAUGGAUACUGGGCGACUAGAGUGCGGUAGAGGAUAGUGGAAUUUCCGGUGUAGCAGUGGAAUGCGUAGAGAUCGGAAGGAACAUCUGUGGCGAAGGCGACUAUCUGGGCCAACACUGACACUGAGACACGAAAGCGUGGGGAGCAAACAGGAUUAGAUACCCCAGUAGUCCCUGUCUCUUAUAC
rnacentral:rRNA from 1 species